AGCGAACGCUGGCGGCAGGCCUAACACAUGCAAGUCGAACGAAGCCUUCGGGCUUAGUGGCGGACGGGUGAGUAACACGUGGGAACGUACCUUUUGGUUCGGAACAACUCAGGGAAACUUGAGCUAAUACCGGAUGAGCCCUUAGGGGGAAAGAUUUAUCGCCGAAAGAGCGGCCCGCGUUAGAUUAGCUAGUUGGUGAGGUAAAGGCUCACCAAGGCUACGAUCUAUAGCUGGUCUGAGAGGAUGAUCAGCCACACUGGGACUGAGACACGGCCCAGACUCCUACGGGAGGCAGCAGUGGGGAGUCUUGCGCAAUGGGCGAAAGCCUGACGCAACCAUGCCGCGUGAAUGAUGAAGGUCUUAGGAUUGUAAAAUUCUUUUACCAGGGACGAUAAUGACGGUACCUGGAGAAAAAGCCCCGGCUAACUUCGUGCCAGCCGCCGCGGUAAGAC
rnacentral:rRNA from 1 species